AGCCACAAUAUUCACUCAUAGGCUACAGUAUGAGCAUUAACUCACCCUAUUUGAGCCAUCAUUUGUGACACAAAAUCUAACUCUUGCCCCGCUGCCUAAUAAUGGUGAUGAUGAUGAUGAUCAGCGUGCAGUGAUGCAGGAUGGAGCCUCUGCUGUCCUCUGCUGUCAGUGAUGCUCAGAGCCUCCACUGCAGUUCCACAACACGAGCGCGAACCACAGCACAACAAUCUGACGAUGGCGGAGCGCAGCGCGAGCAAACUGCGGAUUACCGAGUCGAAAUUUGCCGGUGUGUAUUGAAAAAGUGAACUAUGAUAAUGAUGAUGAUGGUGAUGAUGAUGAUGAUGCUCCAGGAAUCGAGCGCGAGACCGAUGAUCGCUCUCAUCAGAUGCUGAUGAUGGUCGCGCGACCUGCGUGAUUUCCUCCUGCUGGAGCAUCCUGGUUCCUUUUCAUCACCGUAUCGAAGUCUCAGCCAACCUGACAGAAUGAUUGAAGAGGGAAGUAAAAGCAGCAAGUCUAUGGUGGAGAAGAGACAGCUCUUCAUGGAGAUGAGGGCUCAAAACUUUGAUGUCAUUCGCCUUUCAACGUACAGGACAGCAUGUAAGCUACGAUUUGUCCAGAAACGCUGCAACCUUCACCUAGUGGAUGUGUGGAACAUGAUCGAAGCUUUUCGCGACAACGGGUUGAGCACGCUAGACCACAACGCCGAGAUUAACGUGUCCCGCCUGGAGACCAUUUUGUCCUCAAUCUUCUACCAGCUCAACAAGCGGCUGCCCACCACGCACCAGAUAAACGUGGAGCAGUCCAUCGGCCUGCUGCUAAACUUCAUCGUGGCCACUUAUGACAGUGAAGGCCAUGGGAAACUCACAGUGUUUGCUAUGAAGGCAAUGCUAGCUACGAUGUGUGGUGGUAAAAUACUGGAUAAAUUACGUUAUGUAUUUUCCCAGAUCUCAGACUCCAACGGGGUGAUGGUCUUUGCCAAAUUUGACCAGUUCCUGAGGGAGGUGUUGAAGCUCCCGACGGCAGUGUUCGAGGGGCCUUCGUUCGGCUACACUGAGCACUCCGUGAGAACAUGCUUCCCUCAGCAGAAGAAGAUCUUGCUGAAUACGUUUUUGGAUGUGUUGAUGGCAGAUCCACCCCCGCAGUGCCUCGUAUGGCUACCUCUCAUGCACCGACUCGCUAAUGUAGAGAAUGUCUUCCAUCCAGUGGAAUGUUCAUACUGCCGGAGUGAGAGCAUGAUGGGUUUUCGGUACCGCUGCCAGCAGUGUCAUGGCUACCAGCUUUGUCAGAGCUGCUUUUGGCGCGGUCAUGCCAGCGGCCCUCAUAGCAACCAGCACCAGAUGAAGGAGCACUCAUCAUGGAAGUCUCCAGCAAAGAAGCUCAGCCACGCCAUCAGUAAAUCUCUGGGCUGCAUGCCGAUCGGAGAGCCUCCGCAUCCUGUGUUUCCCGAGGCAGCAGAAAGACCUCAGGAUCUCGCACACACUACUCAGCUGAGGCCACUGGCCGACAACAUGAGCGAUACCGUUCUUAUUUCCUCCGGGACGCCAACGCCUUCAAAAAGCACUCUUGAGAGUCCCAGCCGACUGGAUGAAGAGCAUCGUCUCAUUGCUCGAUAUGCGGCUCGUCUGGCAGCCGAAGCCAGCAACUCCACUCAAUGCCCUCCGUCUGAUCUAAGCUUCAACUUUGAUGCUAAUAAGCAGCAGCGGCAACUCAUUGCAGAGCUGGAGAAUAAAAACAGGGAGAUCCUGCAGGAGAUCCAGCGUUUGCGUCUGGAACAUGAACAGGCUUCUCAACCGACCCCUGAAAAAGCCCAGCAGAACCCAACACUUCUGGCAGAGCUACGACUGCUGCGGCACAGAAAAGAUGAGCUGGAGAGGCGCAUGUCAGCUCUGCAGGAGAGCAGGAGAGAGCUGAUGGUCCAGCUGGAGGGCCUCAUGAGGCUCCUGAAGGACGAAGAGCAGAAACAGGCAGCUCAGACGGGGACCUCGCCACACUCAUCGCCCAGCCACAGUGCCAGCUGCACCAUGCCUAUGCCCAUCCGCUCCACCUCGGCCGGCUCAACCCCCACACACACGCCGCAGGACUGUCUGGCAGGGGUUGGAGACGACGUGCUGGAUGCCUUCUCUCAGGGUGUACCAAGAAAUCUCCGUAAUGAUCUUUUAGUGGCUGCAGACUCGAUCACAAACACUAUGUCAUCACUAGUGAAAGAACUUCACUCAGUGGAUGACGGGCUUGAGGAAGAGGAAGAGAACAUGCGAAAUGGACGGGAGAAGAGUGAGUCGCAAAGGCCAUUUCCCUUUCUUUCAGAAUGACAACUGAAAUAAAAGACUGAGUCAGAGUAAAAGAAUAUAGAAUGUUUCAUUGUCAUCGCUGAAGCAUUCUGGGAAAAGGCACUCCACCCCUUCAUUCUGAGCCCCAGGAAAGGACCAGCGACUUCAAGAAGGAAAAAAUCUCCCUGGCAUUCGCACAUUGACAAAUGCAUGCUCUUCCCCAACUGGGUUUCACUAUGUGAAACAAGCUCUUCAUCACACCUUGCACAGAGCAAGUGUAUUUAUUAGGCAGUAUAUAAAUAUAUAUAAAUAUAUAUAAAUAUAGCUCUAUGUCUAUCUGUAUAAACUCAUCGUCAUCAUCCUGUUACUCAUGAGAAUGGCUUGUUUGUGCUUUCUUACUCUCUAAAAACGAACGCACUGUGCAUUUUCAUCACGUCACUCAGAUCUGAUCUAUGCUGUAGCUAUUUUUCCCCACGCUGGGAGCAUUUUUUUGUUUGGUUUUGUAUAGCUAGUGUAAUUUUUGUUGUGUUUUAAUGCAUGGAGUGGCUCUGCUGGAUUGGUGGAGAGGCUUGUGUUUGCUCUGCAUGUGGCAUUUAUUCCGAGCGACUCGAGUGAAGCCUCUUAUAGUCUUCUGCUCAUCAAAACUGCUGCUUUGGCAUCUCGGAAACAAGCACCAUAUAUCAGGGACGUCUCGUAGAGCUCGCUGUUUUGUCUGGGAUUUACGCUUCUGUGUUUAGUUUGGCCCGUCGUCGUAGCCGUUGUUUUAGAGCUUCAGUAUUAGUUUAGAGUAUGGCAUAUGUAUCUCUUUGUAAUUUUGCAGAGCAUAAAGGGACUUUGAUGGAUAUAUAUAUUGGGUAUAUCCAUAAACCAGCUUAGCCAGGCAUUUUUGAGUGCACACGUGUCUCUGUAAAAGCUUUAUUGAGUUCGGUUUUGUUUGUGUGUGUACUUGUGUGAAAUCAAUGAAAUCAGUGCUCAGGGACUGUGGAGAGAGGAACGCGGUAGCAGCGCUUGUGAACAAAUGAGGGGAAUUUGGUUUGACACGGCUGAGGUCAAAUGUUAAAGAUUAGCACAGGUCAUAAAAACUUUAUGGAACAGCGGAGGGUGGCAACAGUCAGCGAUGUUGGGUGGAAGCACAUUUCUGAUAUGCUGGAAAGAAAACAACA